rnacentral:rRNA from 1 species
GAUGAACGCUGGCGGCGUGCAUAACACAUUCAAGUCGAACGGUGAAGGGACUUCGGUCCCGGAUCAGUGGCGGACGGGUGAGUAACGCGUGAGCAACCUGCCUUUCAAAGCGGGAUAACGACUGGAAACGGUCGCUAAUACCGCAUGAUGCAUAUUGGUCGCAUGUCCGAUAUGCCAAAGAUUUAUCGAUGAAAGAUGGGCUCGCGUCUGAUUAGAUAGUUGGUGGGGUAACGGCCUACCAAGUCGACGAUCAGUAGCCGGACUGAGAGGUUGAACGGCCACAUUGGAACUGAGAUACGGUCCAGACUCCUACGGGAGGCAGCAGUGGGGAAUAUUGGGCAAUGGGCGCAAGCCUGACCCAGCGACGCCGCGUGCGGGAAGAAGGUCUUCGGAUUGUAAACCGCUGUAGACAGGGACGAAACAAAUGACGGUACCUGUAAAGUAAGCCACGGCUAACUACGUG